rnacentral:rRNA from 1 species
UACGAAGGGGGCUAGCGUUGCUCGGAAUCACUGGGCGUAAAGCGCACGUAGGCGGAUUUCUAAGUCAGGGGUGAAAUCCUGGAGCUCAACUCCAGAACUGCCUUUGAUACUGGGAAUCUCGAGUCCGGGAGAGGUGAGUGGAAUUCCUAGUGUAGAGGUGAAAUUCGUAGAUAUUAGGAAGAACACCAGUGGCGAAGGCGGCUCACUGGCCCGGUACUGACGCUGAGGCGCGAAAGCGUGGGGAGCAAACAGG